rnacentral:rRNA from 1 species
UACGUAGGGGGCAAGCGUUAUCCGGAAUUACUGGGUGUAAAGGGAGCGUAGACGGUAAUGUAAGUCUGGAGUGAAAGGCGGGGGCCCAACCCCCGGACUGCUCUGGAAACUAUGUUACUAGAGUGCAGGAGAGGUAAGCGGAAUUCCUAGUGUAGCGGUGAAAUGCGUAGAUAUUAGGAGGAACACCAGUGGCGAAGGCGGCUUACUGGACUGUAACUGACGUUGAGGCUCGAAAGCAUGGGUAGCGAACAGG